CACGUAGGGGGCGAGCGUUGUCCGGAUUUAUUGGGCGUAAAGAGCUCGUAGGCGGUUCGGCAAGUCGGGUGUGAAAUUUCGAGGCUCAACCUCGAAACGCCACUCGAUACUGCUGUGACUGGAGUCCGGUAGAGGAGUGCGGAAUUCCUGGUGUAGCGGUGAAAUGCGCAGAUAUCAGGAAGAACACCAAUGGCGAAGGCAGCUCUCUGGGACGGUACUGACGCUGAGACGCGAAAGCGUGGGGAGCGAACAGG
rnacentral:rRNA from 1 species